GGGCUUGCGUCUGAUUAGCUAGUUGGUUGGGUAAUGGCCCACCAAGGCGAUGAUCAGUAGCUGGUCUGAGAGGACAACCAGCCAGACAGGGACUGAGACACGGGCCUGACUCCUACGGGAGGCAGCAGCAAGGAAUUUUGCGCAAUGGGCGAAAGCCUGACGCAGCGACGCCGCGUGGGGGAUGAAGGCCUUCGGGUCGUAAACCCCUUUUCCCGAGGAAGUGACGGUACUCGGGGAAUACGUCUUGGCUAACUACGUGCCAGCAGCCGCGGUAAUACGUAGGAGGCGAACGUUAUUCGGAUUUACUGGGCGUAAAGCGGGCGUAGGCGGCUUCUUAAGUCUUGUGUGAAAUCCUACGGCUUAACCGUAGAACUGCAUGAGAAACUGUUAAUCUAGAGUGUGAAAGAGGCAGGUGGAAUUAGUGGUGUAGGGGUAAAAUCCGUAGAU
rnacentral:rRNA from 1 species